UCAAACUUGGUCAUUUAGAGGAAGUAAAAGUCGUAACAAGGUUUCCGUAGGUGAACCUGCGGAAGGAUCAUUACCGAGCGCAGGCCCCCGUUCCCAGGGGGGCGCCUCCCGUCCUUUUGCGAACGAUCCGUGAUGUUUCGGCGGCCACCGCCGCCGGCAACACCCCAGAAACACCCUUUUGGAAAAACCGUUCCGUCCGAGCAGAUAAUAGCCAACGAGCGAAAAACUUUCAACAACGGAUCUCUUGGUUCCGGCAUCGAUGAAGAACGCAGC
rnacentral:misc_RNA from 1 species